rnacentral:rRNA from 1 species
UACGUAGGGGGCAAGCGUUGUCCGGAUUUAUUGGGCGUAAAGAGCGUGUAGGCGGUUAGGUAGGUCCGUUGUGAAAACUCGAGGCUCAACCUCGAGACGUCGAUGGAAACCGUAUGCUAGAGUCCGGAAGAGGAGAGUGGAAUUCCUGGUGUAGCGGUGAAAUGCGCAGAUAUCAGGAAGAACACCCGUGGCGAAGGCGGCUCUCUGGGACGGUACUGACGCUGAGACGCGAAAGCGUGGGGAGCGAACAGG